GUCCUAAGCAAGUUAACCCAGGCAGUCACUCUGAGAUAAGCAGUUUCUUUUCAUGGAAAAAAGGGAAACGUCUACAGUCCACCGAAUCAAGAUUGAAUUCAAGUAGUAAGACAUCAUUUGCUUCGGUUCUGCCAACUCCACGAAGUGAAGGCGAGAUCUUACAAUCUUCUAAUUUGUGAAGUUUCAGCUUUAGUGAUCUGAAAACUGCUACAAGGAAUUUAAGGCCUGAUAAUGUGUUAGGUGAAGGUGGAUUUGGGUCUGUUUUUAAAGGAUGGAUUGAUGAGAGUACAUUUACAGCUACUAAGCCGGGGACCGGAAUUGUUAUUCUUUUGGGCAUUUUUGUAACAAGACAUGAAAAUGAAAUCCUUUUAUGCAUACGUUUUGUUGACCCUGAAGAACCAUCAUGAGCACUGCAGAGUAUCGGAGACAA